rnacentral:lncRNA from 1 species
AUGUGCCUGGGCAAGCAGCAGAAGAUGGCCAAGUACUUGGGGCUCUGCCACUCACAUGGGAAACCAAGAGGGAGUUCCUGGCUCCUGGCUUUGGUGUGGCUCAGCCCCAGCUGUUGUGGGCAUUUGGGGAAUGAACCAGCGAAUGAAAGAUUUCUCUGUUUGCUGCUGCUGGUGGUGGUGGUGGCCCACAUGGGACAAGACAGAAAUGGAGAGGAAGUGUCUGGAAACCUCAUGGUGAUUUGGCACUGCUGUACCAUCCGUGGAGUGGUCAGAGGAUGGUCCUGGAGCUGGAGCAGGUUGGGGAUGAGUCUUACUGAUGGAAAUCUUUCGGCUUAUCAGGACUCUGGCAGUCCCAGGAAACUGGACAAAACACAAACAAGCAAACUGGUCCUUUCCUUGCACAGGCUGAGAAACAGCAUCCUAGAGCGGAGAGGAGAAUGCAAGCUCACACGGCCUUCAGGGCCCAAAAUCCCUUGUAGAGGGAGUGCAGAAUGGCAGGCUCCUGUAGGAUGCUUUUCGUUCCAAGCAACAGAAAAUCCUGAUUCAACUUGCUAAACCAAUGAGGACAUCUAUUAUUUCAUACAAGUACAAGUUCAGAAGUAGAGGGGCUCUGUGGUUGGCUACUUUGAUGGCUCCAGAACCUCAUCCCCGGCCUCGGUCCUUCUGAGAGAUUCUCUGUUCUGAAACCUACCCUCAUGGUCAUCCAUGGCUGCAGCAGUUCCAGGCAUCACAUCCGGACAUAGUAACAUCCAGUCAGAAGCAGACAGAGCCUCCUCUUCCUUGUCUUGUGUCUCUUGAGUGGAGAAACUGCUCCAGAAACCCUGGAGCUGACUUUUGCUCACUUACCUAGGCCUAACCCGAAGCUUGCCCAGUUAGAAUUAACCUUAGUGCAUAUGUGGGAAGAGUAGAUAAACUUAAUAGAUUCUGGUCUUUGCCGAAAAGGAAGAAGGAAGGGCAAAAACCCCAAUGAUUAAGUGAAAGUUAAGCGAAUGCAUGAACAGGGCAGCGUUUAUGUUAUAUGCAAAUAAAGGGCUGGGGAUACUAAGUGAAGAGGAAAUU